CCAAAUUGCAGAGAUCGUGGCAAAUGUGGGAAGAGCAACAUCCACACUUCUUUUACCCACUCCCAAGGAUUCUGAUUCCACCAAAUACACCUUAUUUUAGUAUCACAAUGACAAAAAAUAAUGCUAAUUGCAUGAAAGCAGAGUGCUAGAAUUUGCUCAAGAAAAAUUGGGUUGACAAGUGUUUGAUAAUUCUAUACAAACUUCCACUACCUGAUUGGUAGACAUUUACAAGCCUCUCUGCAAAAUAGAUUUUCUGGUAUUAAACAGUUAAAAUUGAAUGAAAUAAUUUAAAUUAUUGAAGGUUACUUCCUCUUCCCUAGAAUUUAUCUCAAGAUUACUUUUUAGUUUGAGCAUAGUUUGGUUGGGGUUGUGGUUUGACUUUACCGGGAGAACGAGAGUUCCAAAGCUAGAAAGAAAGAAGUGGGGUAGGAGUCUGCAUCAGUAUCUUCUCCCCCUUUGGUUGGAAUCAUCACCUUUGUGUGGCUCAUUCUACUAACCUACUACUAUACAAAUGCUUGCUACUGCUACUUCUCCAAGACUAACCCUUUCCUUCUUCACUUCUGCUGGGGUGCCCUCCCACUCAUUCAUUUUCACCACUACCAUCUUUUCUCUUUAAAAAUUCUACUACUUUACUACCUGCUCUGUUCAACUUCCUUUUUUGGGUCUUUUUUUAUUACUAUUUUGGGGUUAGCAAGCAAUAGCAUGGGCUAGGGUGGGGGACAUUAUAGUAAACAGUUAACAGUGGAGUUGCAAACUGCAAACAAGAAAAUAAAAAUAAUAAUAAAUGAAAACGCAAGUUGGGUAUCUUCAAGAAUCUUUACAUGUCCAGUUAUUCAAAUUCCCUUUCUCCUUCUCAGCUUUACUU
rnacentral:lncRNA from 1 species